rnacentral:rRNA from 1 species
AUACGUAGGGGGCGAGCGUUGUCCGGAAUGAUUGGGCGUAAAGGGCGCGUAGGCGGCCCGGUAAGUCUGGAGUGAAAGUCCUGUUUUUAAGAUGGGAAUUGCUUUGGAUACUGUCGGGCUUGAGUGCAGGAGAGGUAAGUGGAAUUCCCAGUGUAGCGGUGAAAUGCGGAGAGAUUGGGAGGAACACCAGUGGCGAAGGCGACUUACUGGACUGUAACUGGCGCUGAGGCGCGAAAGUGUGGGGAGCAAACAGGAUUAGAUACCCUGGUAGUCCACACUGUAAACGAUGAAUACUAGGUGUGGGGGGACUGACCCCCUCCGUGCCGCAGUUAACACAAUAAGUAUUCCGCCUGGGGAGUACGAUCGCAAGAUUGAAACUCAAAUGAAUUGACGGGG